UAGGGAAUCUUCCGCAAUGGGCGAAAGCCUGACGGAGCAACGCCGCGUGAGUGAUGAAGGUCUUCGGAUCGUAAAACUCUGUUAUUAGGGAAGAACAAAUGUGUAAGUAACUAUGCACGUCUUGACGGUACCUAAUCAGAAAGUCACGGCUAACUACGUGCCAGCAGCCGCGGUAAUACGUAGGUGGCAAGCGUUAUCCGGAAUUAUUGGGCGUAAAGCGCGCGUAGGCGGUUUUUUAAGUCUGAUGUGAAAGCCCACGGCUCAACCGUGGAGGGUCAUUGGGAACUGGAAAACUUGAGUGCAGAAGAGGAAAGUGGAAUUCCAUGUGUAGCGGUGAAAUGCGCAGAGAUAUGGAGGAACACCAGUGGCGAAGGCGACUUUCUGAUCUGUAACUGACGCUGAUGUGCGAAAGCGUGGGGAUCAAACAGG
rnacentral:rRNA from 1 species